AGAUUUGAUUCUUGGUUCAGGAUGAACGCUAGCGAUAGGCUUAACACAUGCAAGUCGAGGGGCAGCACUGGCAGCAAUGCUUGGUGGCGACCGGCGCACGGGUGCGUAACACGUAUGCAACCUGCCUGUAAGUGUGGGAUAGCCUCCUGAAAGGGAGAUUAAUACUGCAUAACAUGUUUUUACUGCAUGGUAUUUACAUCAAACAUUUAUGGCUUACAGAUGGGCAUGCGUUCCAUUAGGCAGUUGGUGUGGUAAUGGCUCACCAAACCUACGAUGGAUAGGGGUUCUGAGAGGAAGGUCCCCCACACUGGAACUGAGACACGGUCCAGACUCCUACGGGAGGCAGCAGUGAGGAAUAUUGGUCAAUGGUCGCAAGACUGAACCAGCCAAGUCGCGUGAAGGACGACGGCCCUAUGGGUUGUAAACUUCUUUUACAGGGGAAUAAAGUGCGCCACGUGUGGUGUUUUGUAUGUACUUUGUGAAUAAGGAUCGGCUAACUCCGUGCCAGCAGCCGCGGUAAUACGGAGGAUCCGAGCGUUAUCCGGAUUUAUUGGGUUUAAAGGGUGCGUAGGCGGGAUGAUAAGUCAGCGGUGAAAGUUUUCGGCUCAACCGGAAAAUUGCCGUUGAAACUGUUGUUCUUGAGUGCAGAAGAGGUAGGCGGAAUUCGUUGUGUAGCGGUGAAAUGCGUAGAUAUAACGAAGAACUCCGAUUGCGUAGGCAGCUUACCAUGUUGCAACUGACGCUGAGGCACGAAAGUGUGGGUAUCAAACAGGACUAGAUACCCUGGUAGUCCACACAGUAAACGAUGAAUACUAGCUGUUUGCGAUACACUGCAAGCGGCUGAGCGAAAGCA
rnacentral:rRNA from 1 species